UUAAUCCAUUUUUGCUUCAUGGCGAGAUGUUAAAAGGCGGCUUCGGCUGUCACUACGAGAUGGGCCCGCGGCGCAUUAGCUAGUUGGUAGGGUAAUGGCCUACCAAGGCGACGAUGCGUAGCCGACCUGAGAGGGUGAUCGGCCACACUGGGACUGAGACACGGCCCAGACUCCUACGGGAGGCAGCAGUAGGGAAUCUUCCACAAUGGACGAAAGUCUGAUGGAGCAACGCCGCGUGAGUGAAGAAGGUUUUCGGAUCGUAAAACUCUGUUGUAAGGGAAGAACACGUACGAGAGUAACUGCUCGUACCUUGACGGUACCUUAUUAGAAAGCCACGGCUAACUACGUG
rnacentral:rRNA from 1 species